rnacentral:rRNA from 1 species
AUGGCGCGCGUGCUCCCUCUUGACAUUGAGCCCGGGGAGGCACCCAGAGCUGGUGAGACGGUCGCAAGCAUGCCAAGCUCUUCAGCUGUGGCAUCAAACAUGAAGGACGACGAAUAUGCGAGGCUGGUGACACCAGCUCAACAUGCAACAGCUGACAACAACACAGAAAUUCCUGAGCAACCAAAGUCAAGACACUUCAUUUGGUGGAUGAAAGUUCUGCUUGGCUGCUUCCUUCUUAUAUUAGCAUCUUAUAUCUUCGUGAAAUUUGGAGUCCCCUUUGCCUUUCAGAAGGUUCUGUUGCCAAUCAUGCAAUGGGAAGCAAGCGCCUUUGGCCGUCCUGUAUUGGCUCUUGUCCUUGUCGCAUCUUUGGCUCUCCUCCCACUCAUCUUAGUCCCUUCUGGACCUUCUAUGUGGUUAGCAGGAAUGAUCUUCGGUUAUGGCUGGGGUUUCUUGAUUAUUAUGGUUGGGACUACUCUUGGCAUGGUUGCAUCAUAUUGGAUCGGCUCAUUGUUCCGCAAACGUCUACAUGCAUGGUUAAAGAGAUGGCCUCAGCAGAUAGCUCUAAUACAGCUUGCUGGCGAAGGGAACUGGUUCCAGCAGUUUCGAGUUGUUGCACUAUUCAGAAUCUCACCAUUUCCAUAUACAAUUUUUAACUAUGCCGUAACCGUGACAGAAAUCAAGUUCAAUCCUUACCUAUGUGGUUCAAUUGCCGGAAUGGUACCUGAGGCAUUCAUCUAUAUCUAUAGCGGACGGCUAAUACGCACGUUGGCCGAUGUGAAGUAUGGCAAGUAUAAGAUGACGCCGGUGGAGCUAACAUACAACAUAAUCUCGUUCGUCGUUGCCGUUGUCCUCACUAUCGCCUUUACAGUUUACGCCAAAAGGGCGCUAAGCCACAUAAAAAGCUCAGAUGAUAUCUGCGCAGAGGACCAGCCUGGGGUGACUGCACUCAAGAAUGGCCACCAGGAGUGUUCCCGUGCACAUCAUGUAGCUUUAGAUGUCGUGUGA